AUUGAACGCUGGCGGCAUGCCUUACACAUGCAAGUCGAACGGCAGCACGGGCCUCGGUCUGGUGGCGAGUGGCGAACGGGUGAGUAAUGUAUCGGAACGUACCAUUGAGUGGGGGAUAACGUAGCGAAAGUUACGCUAAUACCGCAUAUUCUCUCCGGAGGAAAGCAGGGGACCGCAAGGCCUUGCGCUCUUUGAGCGGCCGAUAUCAGAUUAGCUAGUUGGUGGGGUAAAAGCUCACCAAGGCGACGAUCUGUAGCGGGUCUGAGAGGAUGAUCCGCCACACUGGAACUGAGACACGGUCCAGACUCCUACGGGAGGCAGCAGUGGGGAAUUUUGGACAAUGGGGGCAACCCUGAUCCAGCCAUGCCGCGUGAGUGAAGAAGGCCUUCGGGUUGUAAAGCUCUUUCAGCCGGGAAGAAAUCGCAUGGAUUAAUACUCUGUGCGGAUGACGGUACCGGGAUAAGAAGCACCGGCUAACUACGUGCCAGCCGCCGCGGUAACAC
rnacentral:rRNA from 1 species